rnacentral:rRNA from 1 species
UGGGGAAUAUUGCACAAUGGGCGAAAGCCUGAUGCAGCGACGCCGCGUGAGGGAUGACGGCCUUCGGGUUGUAAACCUCUUUCAGUAGGGACGAAGCGCAAGUGACGGUACCUGCAGAAGAAGCACCGGCUAACUACGUGCCAGCAGCCGCGGUAUUACGUAGGGUGCGAGCGUUGUCCGGAAUUACUGGGCGUAAAGAGCUCGUAGGCGGUUUGUCACGUCGUCUGUGAAAUCCUAGGGCUUAACCCUGGACGUGCAGGCGAUACGGGCUGACUUGAGUACUACAGGGGAGACUGGAAUUUCUGGUGUAGCGGUGGAAUGCACAGAUAUCAGGAAGAACACCGAUGGCGAAGGCAGGUCUCUGGGUAGUAACUGACGCUGAGGAGCGAAAGCAUGGGUAGCGAACAGG